UGGGGAAUAUUGCACAAUGGGGGGGAACCCUGAUGCAGCGACGCCGCGUGAGUGAAGAAGUAUUUCGGUAUGUAAAGCUCUGUCAGCAGGGAAGAAGAAAGACGGUACCUGACCAAGAAGCCCCGGCUAACUACGUGCC
rnacentral:rRNA from 1 species